UGGGGAAUAUUGCACAGUGGGGGGAAACCCUGAUGCAGCGACGCCGCGUGAGCGAUGAAGUAUUUCGGUAUGUAAAGCUCUAUCAGCAGGGAAGAAAAUGACGGUACCUGACUAAGAAGCCCCGGCUAACUACGUGCC
rnacentral:rRNA from 1 species